GACCGUGGAGGGGACAUGGAGAGGGGUGGAGCAGCAGCCGCAUUGGCAGAGCAGGCUUGUACCAGUGAUGUGCAGGUGCACUGGGAGCGGGCCAGAAUUCUGAAGCCGGUCUUGAAGCCAUCGCGGGCUUUGUUGCAAGAAACGAUCGAGAUUUUGCGAAGGAAUGGUGGGCGGCGACUGUUGAAUGAUGGGCCCUCAAUUGAACUGCCGGCAGCUUGGAGCUGCUUAUUGAAGCGGCGGAGGUGCCUAUGGUGCAGUCGCCGGUUUGUGGGACAGAGAGGAGGGUGUUCUCGGACGUUUG
rnacentral:lncRNA from 1 species